rnacentral:tRNA from 1 species
GCCAGCGUGGCUCAGUGGAUGGAGCAUCAGCCUGCAGACUGAGGGGUCACAGGUUCGAUUCCAGUCAAGGGCA